rnacentral:rRNA from 1 species
UACGUAGGGAGCAAGCGUUGUCCGGAAUCAUUGGGCGUAAAGCGCGCGUAGGCGGCUCGAUAAGUCCGCUGUAAAAGUCAACGGCUCAACUGUUGAAAGCCGGUGGAUACUGUCGGGCUAGAGUACGGAAGAGGCAAGUGGAAUUCCUGGUGUAGCGGUGGAAUGCGCAGAUAUCAGGAGGAACACCCAUAGCGAAGGCAGCUUGCUGGGACGUUACUGACGCUAAGGCGCGAAAGCGUGGGGAGCGAACAGG